rnacentral:rRNA from 1 species
AAUGCAUCGGAACGUGCCCAGUCGUGGGGGAUAACGCAGCGAAAGCUGCGCUAAUACCGCAUACGAUCUAUGGAUGAAAGCGGGGGACCGUAAGGCCUCGCGCGAUUGGAGCGGCCGAUGUCAGAUUAGGUAGUUGGUGGGGUAAAGGCUCACCAAGCCAACGAUCUGUAGCUGGUCUGAGAGGACGACCAGCCACACUGGGACUGAGACACGGCCCAGACUCCUACGGGAGGCAGCAGUGGGGAAUUUUGGACAAUGGGCGCAAGCCUGAUCCAGCAAUGCCGCGUGCAGGAAGAAGGCCUUCGGGUUGUAAACUGCUUUUGUACGGAACGAAAAGGCUCUGGUUAAUACCUGGGGCCCAUGACGGUACCGUAAGAAUAAGCACCGGCUAACUACGUGCCAGCAGCCGCGGUAAUACGUAGGGUGCAAGCGUUAAUCGGAAUUACUGGGCGUAAAGCGUGCGCAGGCGGUUUUGUAAGACAGGCGUGAAAUCCCCGGGCUUAACCUGGGAAUUGCGCUUGUGACUGUAAGGCUGGAGUGCGGCAGAGGGGGAUGGAAUUCCGCGUGUAGCAGUGAAAUGCGUAGAUAUGCGGAGG